rnacentral:rRNA from 1 species
AACACGGACCAAGGAGUCUAACAUGUGCGCGAGUCAUUGGGUAUAUUAAAACCUAAAGGCGUAAUGAAAGUGAAAGUCGUCCUUAGCGUCGACUGAGGGAGGAUGGCUCGCGUCACGAUGCGAGCCCGCACUCCCGGGGCGUCUCGUGCUCAUCGCGAGCAGAGGCGCACCCAGAGCGUACACGUUGGGACCCGAAAGAUGGUGAACUAUGCCUGGUCAGGACGAAGUCAGGGGAAACCCUGAUGGAGGUCCGUAGCGAUUCUGACGUGCAAAUCGAUCGUCGGAACUGGGUAUAGGGGCGAAAGACUAAUCGAACCAUCUAGUAGCUGGUUCCUUCCGA